ensembl:snRNA U6 U6 spliceosomal RNA
GUGCUAGCUUAAGCAGCACAUGUACUAAAAUUGGAAAAAUACAGACAAGAUUAGCAUGUCUCCUGCACAAGGUGACAUGCAAAUCCAUGAGGUGUUCCACAUUAAA